UUAUGUACCUGGCAGGGGCAAUACCAUGAUCAAGAAGGUGGUUUGUCCAAAGCGAGGCUCAGCCAUCGCACUCAGGCUGUGGUGACCUUUGUGAAAUCCCUAAAUGUGGGAAUCUCGACUGCAUAAUUUCUGAUAGUGGGUGACUGUGUUUGCGCUCUCCAUUUU